UCAAGCAGCUGAUAUGUGACACGUGACACCUGUUGAAAAUGAAGUACCAAGCUUUAAAGUUUAAUUCAUUUCUCAUUAGAAUAUCUAAUUUAAAAUUAUAAUUACCCUCCAUUUUAUUACGAUACAAGAAUAAUAUAAUAAGAAGACUAAUUUAGUUAAAACUUAGAAGAUUUCUUGUUUAUAUUUUCUAUAGAAGAUUAGUUGACGCUGUUUCAAAAAGCAUAUCGAGCAAAUCAACUCCAUAGAAAAAAAGAUUAUGAUGUUGAGAAAGGUUUUCUCCGAGUUUCUGCCGAUUAUCCGACAUUACGAGUUCACGACAAAAGUAAAUUUUGCUAAUACAUUAAAGCGAAAUAUUAAAUAUCAAUGUAGAAGAUUAUCUACUUCAUUACAUGUCAAAACGAACAAUAACACAUUGGCUGUGGACGAAGAACUGCAAGAAAUUUUUAAACUUAAAAACAUUAAGAUCAGCAAUUGGAUUAUAGAGAACAAGGUACAUGCACUAUGUGUCAGAUAUACUGAAAGCAACAAAAAUAAUCGCCAACAAAUUUUACGUACAUUGGCUUUACAAUAUGCUGUGCAACAUAAUGAUAUAUGCCAAGUGGCAAAGAAGUUACUUUGUACAGAGCCUGAAAAUGAAAGGCAAAUGAUUGUCCAUGAAAGAACUCUGAAGAAUGUUCUUAUACCUGCAUAUCAUUGGUUAUUUUUUAUCAUAGGAAGAUUGCAAAAUGGUGUAAAAUUUUUAGUUGAUUUAAGAACUGAUGUUUUGGAACUAAUAUCAGAGGCAAAAGAUACAGAUGAAAGUAUAAUAAUACAGCAGUUAAAUCAUACCUUGCGAGAUUUGCUUUUGCUCUGGUUUUCAAUAGGUUUUUUGCACAUGGAGAGAAUAACUUGGGAAAGUUCAUGUGACAUAUUACAAAAGGUCUCAGAGUAUGAAGCCAUACAUCCUAUAAGAAACUGGUUGGACUUGAAACGCAGAGUUGGACCAUAUAGAAGAUGUUACAUAUUUACGCAUCCAUCUAUGCCAAAAGAACCUAUUGUUGUAUUGCAUACAGCAUUAUGUGACAUUAUACCAGAUACUGUGAAGGGUAUCGAGGAAGCUGAAUCUAGAAUCCUAGGAAAUGCAAGAAAACAUUUAACAUUUUUAGAGGAAGAUAAAUCGAAAAUAAAAGCAGCAAUAUUUUAUUCUAUAGCAUCUACACAAAAAGGGUUGCAGGGCAUUGAGCUCGGUAAUUAUCUAAUAAAAAAAGUAGCUAGUGAGAUUACAACUGAAUUUCCAGCUGUGCAGCAAUUAUCAAGCUUAUCACCAAUACCAAACUUUAAAUCUUGGUUGUUUGACAAAUUAAAACAAGAUGUAGCGUUUAUAUUUACCAUGAAAGAAUAUGAAAUUAUAAAAAAUAUUUUAAAAACAAAAGAUGUAGUAUUGAUCUUGAAAAAGAUCUUAAGCACUUCAUUGUGGACGAAUGAUAAAGAAUUGUCAGAAUCUUUAAAAGAACCACUACUUCGAGCAUGCACAUGGUACUUAUAUAAAGAAAAACGACGUGGCUAUGCUUUAAAUAAUGUUGCUAAUUUUCAUUUACGUAAUGGAGCUGUGAUGUGGCGAAUAAACUGGAUGGCUGAUCCUUCGCCACGUGGAAUAGCAAAUAGUUGUGGUAUAAUGGUUAACUAUAGAUAUUUCUUAGAAGAGUGUGAAAAAAACAGUCGGAAUUACAUUGAACAUUUUGUCAUAAAUGCUUCGGAAAAUAUAAUUAAUAUCGCUACACAAGCGGAAAAAUUAAGAAUUACUUACGAUAUAAACUAUGAUAUAAUAUGAAAGAAUCAUGAACAAAUAUAAUAAAUUUCUACAACUAUGUCUAAGAGCGAACGAAUUGUAUGAGUAACUAUAGAAGAGUUUGGAAAGACAAUUGAAAAGUGCCAUGGUGUCGAUACCAUUAUUGAAAGCAUUAAAUUUACACAUAAUUUCUUUUCUAUAU